GAGUUUGAUCUUGGCUCAGGACGAACGCUGGCGGCGUGCUUAACACAUGCAAGUCGAACGAGAAUCUACUGAAAGAGUUUUCGGACAAUGGAAGUAGAGGAAAGUGGCGGACGGGUGAGUAACGCGUGAGGAACCUGCCUUGAAGAGGGGGACAACAGUUGGAAACGACUGCUAAUACCGCAUGAUGCAUCAGGGUCGCAUGAUUCUUAUGCCAAAGAUUUAUCGCUUCAAGAUGGCCUCGCGUCUGAUUAGCUAGUUGGCGGGGUAACGGGCCCACCAAGGCGACGAUCAGUAGCCGGACUGAGAGGUUGAACGGCCACAUUGGGACUGAGAUACGGCCCAGACUCCUACGGGAGGCAGCAGUGGGGAAUAUUGGCAAUGGGCGCAAGCCUGACCCAGCAACGCCGCGUGAAGGAAGAAGGCUUUCGGUAUGUAAACUUCUAUCAGCAGGGAAGAAAAUAGACGGUACCUGACUAAGAAGCCCGGCUAACUACGUGACAGCAGCCGCCGUAAC
rnacentral:rRNA from 1 species